rnacentral:rRNA from 1 species
GGACUACCGGGGUAUCUAAUCCUGUUUGAUCCCCACGCUUUCGUGCCUCAGUGUCAAUAAUAGUGUAGCGAGCUGUCUUCACAAUCGGUGUUCUAUGUCAUAUCUAAGCAUUUCACCGCUACAUGACAUAUUCCGCUCACCUCCACUACAUUCAAGACAAAUAGUAUCAACGGCAGUUUUCGGGUUAAGCCCAAAGAUUUCACCACUGACUUACUUGCCCACCUACGCACCCUUUAAACCCAGUGAAUCCGGAUAACGCUUGCACCCUCCGUAUUACCGCGGCUGCUGGCAC